GUAAUUCUAAUUUGGAUGUAUUUUUCGUGUCCGCAGAACAAAAGAAUCGUAUACCAGACUCUACACCGUUUGAUCACCUUUAAUCAGUUUUUAGCAGAAGUACCACUUAACUAGGAAUAGGUAUAUCGACAUUACAAAUGUUAGCAGAUCUUCCAUCAAUAUAUGAUAUUCUUCAAUUUAUACUGGCUGAUGGAAAAUUGUAAUUUUGAUUUAUUGUUAUUUUAAUUAAUAUUAUUUUUUGUUGGUAAUAAAAUGAUUCCCUUAAA